GGCAAUAUUAACCUUCACAUAAAAUAGAGUUUUUAUUACAUUUACAACAUGUAUCGUCAAUUAACUCCAUAUAUUGAACUAGAAAGAAGUACCUAGUAACAAUAUUCAAAAUCAAUCGAUGGCCGAUGUUACCGUCAUUGUGUUUUAGUCCAUUUUCUUGUUUAUCUUGGUAGCCACCUCCUCUGCAGUAGACACCAUAACUGCAAAUCAAAGCAUAAGGGAUGACGGAAAUAGUACCAUUGAAUUAGCUGGAGGAGUCUUUGAGCUGGGAUUUGGUAACUCCAAGAACAGAUACCUGGGUAUAUGGUACAAGAAGAUAGCAACUGGGACAGUUGUAUGGGUUGCUAAUCGAAAGAUUCCACUUGCUGAUAAUUCAGGUGUCUUAAGGGUCGAUGGAAAGGGAAUGUACUUGCUAAUAGAAAGAUUCCACUUAUCUCUAGUCCUGCCUCUAGGAUGGUGUUGAAUCCGAAUGGAACUAUUCAACUUCUCACAAGGAUUGAUGAUUAAUCGAACGCAAAGAUAGGAAAAUAAUCCGAGCCAGCCUGCACAGAGGGAUAAUUGAGACCAUUAUGCAUUAUGUGGUGCAUAUGGUAGUUGUUACUUAACCAAAUACCAGCCGGGAACAUGUAGUUGCAUGAAAGGAUAUGAGCCAAAAAAUUUAGAGUGGAACAAUAUUUAUCAGAUCAAUUUUGAAUAUAAAAAUCUCUUAAGUUGACUUGAAAAGGUCAACAAUAAUCAAAUAAUAUGGAAUAGGAGUAUUUUUUAUGAAACCUUAAUUCAGUUUCAUGAAUAUGAUAAAUGUAAUACAGUAAUAGUAUUACCGAGCAAGAGUUGGAAGUAAAUCAUACGCCAAAUACUAUUACUCAAAGACUUGCAAACCUAAUUAUUGUCCCUAUGGACUUUUCUUAGUAGUUUCCUUUGACUAGAAGCCUUUGACUAAUUCAUACCUUGAAUUUCCACAAGAUAACUGUUGUAGCCUAUAUUUGACCUUUGAAUAGAAAGUUACUAGAGCCAGUAAUAAGUGAAGAAAAGUAAAGCUACAAACCACUACCUCCAUUCCAAAACUAAAGUACAGCUACAAACCACAAGCUCCACUUUGCUGAUAACAUUCUUUAUCUUUUUAACUACCAAUGACAGUCAGUACCAUCACUUUGUUUUGCUCCACUUUGAUGAUAACAUUCUUUAUCUUGUUAACUACCUCCAGUGCAGCAGACACAAUAACUGCAAAUCAAACCAUUAGAGAUGAUGGCAAUAACACCAUUGAAUCAGCUGGUGGAAUUUUUGAGUUGGGAUUCUUCAGCCCCGGUAGUUCCAAGAAUCGAUACUUGGGCAUUUGGUACAAGAAAAUAUCAAACAGGACAGUUGUUUGGAUUGCUAAUAGAGAAACUCCAAUCACUGAUAACUCAGGUGUCAUAAGGGUGGAUAGUAAUGGGAUUUUAGUACUUGUUCAUAGUACAAAUAGCAUAAUUUGGACGUCAAAUUCAUCGAGAUCUGUGGCAAAACCUUUGGUUCAAUUACUAGAUACAGGAAAUCUUGUUCUCAGGUAUGAAAAUGACACUGACCCUGAAAAAUUUCUUUGGCAAAGUUUUGAUCAUCCUGUGAAUAAUCAACUACCAGGGAUGAAGCUUGGAUGGGACUUUGAAAAGGGCCUAGACCGGUACCUAACAUCCUGGAAAAGUGCCGAUGAUCCUUCUCCGGGUAAUUUCACAUUCAGGGUCAAUAUUGAAGGAUACCCACAAAUGAUUGUGUCUCAAGGUUCAGUUGCGCAGUUCAGAUUUGGACCAUGGGAUGGUAUUCAGUUUAGUGGUGUGGCGUUUGACGUACCAGACUUGAAUUUUGAUUUGAAGCUUAUUUUCAAUCAGAGGGAAAUUUAUUCGACGUUUAAUCUUGUGAAUCAAUCUAUUGCUCUGAGGUUUGUGUUGAAUCCUACUGGAGAUGUACAACUUCUAACAUGGAUGGAUCAAACCCAAAAUUGGACAUUUGGUACUAAUGUGGGAGUACUUUGGGAUGAAUGUGAUCAGUUUGCGUUAUGCGGGGCAUAUGGUAAUUGUAACAUUACUGAGUACAGAUUAGGACAAGUCCCAUGUGGGUGUUUGAAAGGAUAUGAGCCUAAAUUUCCAGAUAAAUGGAACUCAGCAGAUUGGUCUAAUGGGUGCGUUCGAAAAACUGAAUUUGAAUGUGGAAAUGGAGAUGAAUUUGUCGAGUAUCCGAAUUUGAAAUUACCAGACACACGACGUUCAGUUUUUAAUCGAAGCAUGAACCUUGAAGAAUGUAAGAGGGUGUGCUUGAGGAAUUGUUCUUGUACAGGUUACUCAAAUAUAGAUAUCAGGCAAGGUACUGGGUGCAUGUUAUGGUUUGAUGAGUUGCUUGAUAUCAGAGAUUACGGAGUCAAUGGGCUACAUUUUUUUUUAAGAACUGCUGCCUCAGAAUUAGGUAACUACAAUUUUGAUAACCAAAUUGCUAGUUCAAUUAUAUUGUUAAUGUAGUUGUUUGACAUUGUGGUUUAUAUUUUUGCCUGCACAGUGGAAAAGAGGAGCACAAAUAAUAAGACGCGAGUGAAUAUCAGUAUCAUAAUCAUUCCAGUAUUAGUAGGUCUACUAGUACUGCUAGGCCUAUUUCUGAUAUACAUGUCCAAGAAGAGAAAGAUGAGGAGGAGGAGAAGAAGUAAUGUGUCUUCUGCUAAACUCAUUUUAUGUGGCUGAAUGAAAUUUCCUAUACAUGUUAUUGCGAAUAUGUGCACCUUGUUCACUAUAUGCUUUUCGCUUCUGAAAUUGCAGGAAUGCUAACACUCAAUCCAGAAAAUGACAGCAGAAAUGAAAAUGAGAGAGAAGAUUUGGAUCUGCCAUUAUUUGACUUCCAAAUAAUUGCUGAUGCCACAAAUAACUUCUCUCAAAACAAUAAGCUUGGUGAGGGUGGUUUUGGGCCUGUCUACAAGGUAAUAUAUAAUAGAUACACUUCUAUACACUAAUCAUCAUACAACCUUAAGGUAACAAGAUAUUUAUCUACCACAAAAAAUUUCCCUAAAUUAUUUUAAUUUAAAGCACAAAAUUUAUCUAAUUUAAAGCACAUAUUGGUCAGAGUUAUGCAACAGGAGCUAUUUGACAGCACAUUGCCUCCUAUUGCUCUAAUAGAAAAAGAAUUGUUUCUACAUUAUAGUUCUGUAGCCACAUCAUGUUGUAGGAUUGUGUUGUGCAAGUUUCACUAGCAGAAUAAUAACUAUUAUUGGGAUUGUUUCAGGGAAUCAUCGAUGGAAAACAAGAAAUUGCUGUGAAGAGGUUGUCAAAGACUUCGAGACAAGGACUACAUGAGUUCAAGAAUGAAGUUUCAUCUAUAGCCAAACUUCAGCACCGCAAUCUUGUAAGGCUUCUAGGAUGCUGCAUUGAGGAGGGUGAAAUGAUGUUGAUCUAUGAAUACAUGCCCAACAAAAGUUUAGAUUUCUUUAUUUUUGGUAUGUCUGUCUCAAAAUUUUCGUACGUUUUCUUUGUUUUGAUAGUCUGAAAUUCUACUAUUGUUCUAAGUAGUUAUUAACUUUGAUGAUAAAUUGGAUAGACAAAGAACUAACGAAGUCACUGGAUUGGCCAAAGCGCUACAACAUUAUAAAUGGCAUCGCUAAGGGACUUUUAUAUCUUCACCAAGACUCUAGGCUUAGAAUCAUUCAUAGAGAUCUCAAAGCCAGCAAUAUUUUACUAGAUCAAGAUAUGAGUCCAAGAAUUUCAGAUUUUGGCUUGGCAAGAAGUUUUGGAGGAAGUGAAACUUUAGUAAAUACAGCUAGAGUGGUUGGCACAUAGUAAGAAUCUCUAUAGCACUGCAAUCUUUUGUACUUUUAUUUAUCAGAAUUGAAGCUAAUAUUAUUUUCAACGGAUUUCCUGCAGUGGUUAUAUGUCUCCUGAGUAUGCCAUUGAUGGAUUAUUCUCAGUUAAAUCUGAUGUUUAUAGUUUUGGCGUUGUGAUACUAGAGGUAAUGAGCGGGAAAAAAAUCAGAGGGUUUUAUGAUUCAGGGGACAACCUUAACCUUCUUGGUCAUGUAAGUUCCAAGAACUAAUACUGCAUCGAAUUCUUUAUUUUAUAGUUAUUAAAUUAUUGAUAAAUGAUAACCAAAUUGUGUAGGCAUGGAAACUUUUUAAAGAGGGCAAGUAUUUGAACCUAAUUGAUGAGGCAAUUGUGGAGUCAUGUAAGCAGUCUGAGGUUCUUCGAGCUAUCCAAAUCGGGUUAUUGUGUGUGCAACCGUAUCCAAAAGACAGGCCAAACAUGCCAUUUGUUGUUUCAAUGCUAAGCAGUGAAAAUGAGCUACCUCAGCCAAAUGAACCUGGUUUUUUCACUGAGAGGAGAGUCCCAGAAUCAGAUUCUUCAUCUAGCAACCAAGGAUUGUUUGUAUCUAAUAAUGAAUUAUCUGUUUCAUUUUUCGGCCCUAGGUAGCAUAGUUGUUACGGCGCCACGGCGAGUCAUGGCGGUAGCCGACUGCCUGGACGCCAUGGCGUCCUUAUGGCGAUAAGUCGUUUACAAUGUGCAAUUUAUAUCAUAAUUAUCGGCCCCCAAACUUUCUGCCAUUUUACGUUCUACACAAUACAAUCAAAUAAAAAAUAUAAGAGACAGUCUUUAUAGAAGUAAAUAUAAAUUUCUAACCACAACACUCAUCAGCAGGCAUGAUCCAUCAUCCAAGCAGUAUUAUAUAUAUAUAUAUAUAUAUAUAUAUAUAUAUAUAUAUACCCAGCAGAAAGAAAGAAAGAAACAGAGGCAGCAAGGCACUAAGGCUAAAGAAAAAAAAAAGCCAACAGUCAUACAGCUGAGUAGCCGACCAACAUACUUCAACUUUAUUUCAUACAGUAUAAAUAAAAGGGAAGAAACAGACCAAAGCAGCCGAGCAGUAAACAAAAAAGGGGAAGAAAACAAAACGAAAAAAACAUACUUGUUGGCUGCUACCUGCCGAUCUUGCCCUCACCGUCGAAGUCCCUUGCUCGAUCGCAGCCUCCCUCUCGCCCUCGCUGUCGACUUCGUCUUCUCUCUAUCGGUUCUCUCGAGUCUCGACUUCGAUGGAUCUGAAUUCUACUUCUUCUUUGUGAAUCGACUACAUAAGGGCUUCGUUAUAUCAUAGCGUGAUGUCGUUUUUUUUACCCAGUUUAGAUUUGGGUCGACCCAUGAGACCAAUUCGCUUGACCAGACAGACAAUCGUUCAAGUCGUCGUCACGUUGUCCAUGUCGACUACUUUUUUUGAUAGGCGCUCGCCUUGCAGCCAUUGACCGAGUCGGAAGCUCGCCUUGUAGAUCUCUGGCCGACUGGACGACUUGGCGUCGCCUAGGCUACGCCUUAACAACUAUGCUAGGUAGUAUGUAGACAUUAUUUUUUUGGUACUUCUGGUGCAUUUUGGCACCUUAUGCAAUUGUAAUGUUGUAUUCUUCAUUAAUAUACAAGGAAAAGGGGAUGGUAUUUGAUUUCAUGAAUCUGGUGAAGGUAAUAAGCUGUCAUAUUUUACCUUUUUUGGUACUAGCAAGAGAAAUGAUAUAUAUGCAUACAUACUGCAAGGGAACAGGAAAAAAAUUCAAGAAGAUAGAACCUCUAUGGCAAAACAAGACUUGCAGACAUUUACUCCAAAUGAAAUAAUGGAACUGAAAAAACGGAGCAGGAAUUCCCAGGAACAAACUCGAGAGAUAAUAGACUGGGUUCUUCUACACAGACCGGUCAAUGGGACCGGUUUAUUGGACAGGCCGACUUUUAUUUUUAUUUUUAUUUUUUUGCUUGUGACUCUAAAAAAUGUAUAGUAUUUAUUUCUACAGAAAUUUUU
rnacentral:lncRNA from 1 species